UACGAAGGGGGCUAGCGUUAAUCGGAAUUACUGGGCGUAAAGCGCGCGCAGGCGGUCCUUUAAGUCUGAUGUGAAAGCCCACGGCUCAACCGUGGAGGGUCAUUGGAAACUGGGGGACUUGAGUGCAGAAGAGGAAAGCGGAAUUCCACGUGUAGCGGUGAAAUGCGUAGAGAUGUGGAGGAACACCAGUGGCGAAGGCGGCUUUCUGGUCUGUAACUGACGCUGAGGCGCGAAAGCGUGGGGAGCAAACAGG
rnacentral:rRNA from 1 species